rnacentral:rRNA from 1 species
AACGAACGCUGGCGGCAGGCUUAACACAUGCAAGUCGAACGAACCUUCGGGUGAGUGGCGCACGGGUGCGUAACGCGUGGGAAUAUACCCUUGAGUAAGGAAUAACGUAGAGAAAUUUGCGCUAAUACCUUAUAAUGACUUCGGUCCAAAGAUUUAUCGCUCAAGGAUUAGCCCGCGUCAGAUUAGAUAGUUGGUGAGGUAACGGCUCACCAAGUCGACGAUCUGUAGGGGGUCUGAGAGGAUGAUCCCCCACACUGGUACUGAGACACGGACCAGACUCCUACGGGAGGCAGCAGUGAGGAAUAUUGGACAAUGGGGGAAACCCUGAUCCAGCCAUGCCGCGUGAGUGAAGACGGCCUUAGGGUUGUAAAGCUCUUUCAAUUGCGAAGAUAAUGACGGUAACAAUAGAAGAAGCUCCGGCUAAAUUCG